AUUGAACGCUGGCGGCAUGCCUUACACACGCAAGUCGAACGGCAGCACGGGAGCAAUCCUGGUGGCGAGUGGCGAACGGGUGAGUAAUAUAUCGGAACGUGCCCAGUCGUGGGGGAUAACGCAGCGAAAGCUGUGCUAAUACCGCAUACGAUCCAAGGAUGAAAGCGGGGGAUCGCAAGACCUCGCGCGAUUGGAGCGGCCGAUAUCAGAGUAGCUAGUUGGUGGGGUAAAGGCCCACCAAGGCGACGAUCUGUAGCUGGUCUGAGAGGACGACCAGCCACACUGGAACUGAGACACGGUCCAGACUCCUACGGGAGGCAGCAGUGGGGAAUUUUGGACAACGGGCGCAAGCCUGAUCCAGCAAUGCCGCGUGCAGGAUGAAGGCCUUCGGGUUGUAAACUGCUUUUGUACGGAACGAAACGGCCCUUUCUAAUACAGGGGGCUAAUGACGGUACCGUAAGAAUAAGCACCGGCUAACUACGUGCCAGCCGCCGCCGUAA
rnacentral:rRNA from 1 species